rnacentral:lncRNA from 1 species
CGGACGCCGAGGAGCUACCACCGCGACUCCGCCCGCCCGCGCAGGCUCAGGUUACCUCCAGCUGCUGCCAUGCCCAACUCAGUGCUGUGGGCGGUGGACCUCUUCGGGAGAGUGUACACGCUGUCCACAGCCGGCCAGUACUGGGAGCUGUGCAAGGACUCCCAGCUAGAGUUCAAGCGCGUCAGCGCCACCACGCAGUGCUGCUGGGGCAUUGCCUGUGACAACCAGGUCUACGUGUAUGUGUGUGCCAGCGAUGUCCCCAUCCGCCGCCGAGAGGAGGCCUAUGAGAAUCAGCGCUGGAAUCCCGUGGGUGGCUUCUGUGAAAAACUCCUACUGAGUGACCGCUGGGGCGUGGAGUGGCGUGAGUGGGCUCCAACACCGGCCGGCUGGAUGGGGUGGCGCUGCCCUCGCGCACUGGGAGUGGGAGUCUGACUGAUGCGUGGAUGAAAAUUUUGGAGGCGAACCCACCGAGAAAGGGGGUGGGCGUCGCCAUCGACUUUCCGCCACCUACGAGAGACAAGAAGUGGAAUUCUUGUGUGCGGCGCCCGAAAAUGGAUCCCGGUACGGGAGAUACAAGUCCCGGGACAUCUGGGCCAAGAUCCCCUCGAAGGACGACCCCAAGGAGCUGCCCGACCCCUUCAACGACCUCUCUGUAGGGGGCUGGGAGAUCACGGAGGAGCCUGUGGGCCGCCUGUCAGUGUGGGCUGUGUCUCUGCAGGGCAAGGAAGUUCCUGGUCCGUUGUGGAGCCUCCUGGAUCUGAAAACGGGGUCAUGCACGUCUCGGUGGGAGUCAACGUGGUCUGGGCUGUCACCAAGGACCAGAAGGUGUGGUUCCGAAGAGGCGUCAACUCUCACAAUCCCUGUGGCACCAGCUGGAUUGAGAUGGUUGGUGAGAUGCUGAUGGUGAACGUGGGAAUGAACGACCAGGUGUGGGGCAUUGGCUGUGAGGACCGAGCUGUGUACUUCCGGCAGGGCGUCACCCCCAGCGAGCUCAGCGGGAAGACCUGGAAGGCCAUCGUCGUGGCCCGAGAGUGUGACCGGUCACACUCCGGCAGCUCGUCUAGUCUCCUCAGGUGACCAGGGACGGCAGGCUGUGCAGGAGCCAGGCUGGGACGGGCUCUCUGAGCCUAGGUGGUCACGUCCAGAAGAGUCUGCCACCCGCCCCACUGGGUCCCGGGACUUGUCCCAGGCAGGAGAAAAUGGGUCUUCACUCACAAGAGCCACAAGAGCCGAAGCCCUCCUGCCUCGGUCCUACAGAGAGGGGGUCCUGGGGGCAGCCCGGGGUGGCUGCUGGAGGUGUUGGACGCACUCUGGGCUGCUGGUGGUGGCACUGGGAGCAGGGUAAGGCUGGGCUGUCAUGAUGGAGGUGAGGCUCGACCCUGAUCUGGGUUACCCCAUUGGGUCCAAAGGCUGAAGAUCUGGGGCAGAAACAGUUCUCUGGGAAAGAAGUAAAGACCCUCUGUCCAGGGUAAACAAGGACGGGACAGAGGGGCUCUGACUAGCCUGCAGCAGUGGUCUCAGACUCAGGCACCGGGGUUGCCUGGAGGGUUUGUUCAGACUCUGAUCUCCGGGUCUCACCCCGAGUUUCUGUUUGAGACUUAGUAUUUCUCACCAGCCCCUGGGUGAUGCUGCUGCAGUUCCGGGGCCGCACCUGGGGGUCCGUAGGUCUAAAGAGCGUGGACAAGCCCUAGCUCUGCCCACUGGCCGUAAGAGCGUGGACAAGCCCUAGCUCUGCCCACUGGCCGUGAGAGCACAGGCAGGCGACUCUGUGGAUGAGCUGGGGACAGCUCAGCUCUGCAGUGGGAAUGUUCACAUCCGCGAGUGGAUGGAGAUGGCGCUCAGGGCCCGGGCUCUGCAGCCGUUCCCACCUGUAGCUGUGACCCUCCCCAGCCCCUGGUCCACACCCCUCUGUGCCCUGAGCCUGGUGGUUACCACCCUGCUGUGCUGUCAGCCCAGAGGGUCAGGGAAGAUGACCAGGGCAGGCGUUUGCUCAUGUGUCACCUGAGGGUUUAGUCUGCUCAGAUGGUAGGUGGCGUUUUGUUUGUUUUGUUUUGUUUUGUUUUGAGACAGUCUCACUGUGUCAUCCAGGCUAGAGUGCAGUGGCGUGAUCAUGGCUCACUGCAGCCUCAAACUCCUGGGCCCAAGUGAUCCUCCCACCUCAGCCUCCCAAGUAGCUGGGAUUACAGGUGUUCACCACCACACCUGGCUAAUUCUUGUAUUUUUAGUAGAGAUAGAGUUUCACUAUGUUGGCCAGGCUGGUCUUGAACUCCUGACCUCAAGUGACCCUCCCACCUCUGUCUCCCAAAGUGCUGAGAUUACAGGCGUGAGCCACCACACCCGGCCAACUGGUAGUUCUUUUUAUUGUUUGUUUUUUUUGUUUUUUGUUUUGGGGCGGGUCUCGCUCUGUCGCCCAGGCUGGAGUGCCGUGGCGUGAUCUCAGCUCGCUGCAAGCUCUGCCUCCUGGGUUCACGCCAUUCUCCUGCCUCAGCCUCCCAAGUAGCUGGGACUACAGGCGCCCGUCACUACGCCCAGCUAAUUUUUUGUAUUUUUAGUAGAGAUGGGGUUUCACCGUGUUAGCCAGGAUGAUCUCGAUCUCCUAACCUUGUGAUCUGCCCACCUUGGCCUCCCGAAGUGCUGGGUGUGAGCCACUGCGCCCGGACCCAACUGGUAGUUCUUAAACUAGAAAGUACAUGAGAAUCAGCUAAGAAGCUUCAAAAACUACAGAUGCCAAAUCUUUAUAACUUUGAGGUUAGCAGUGGCUUCUUAGACAUGAUACCAAAAGCCCAGGCAAUGAGGAAAUACAGAUAAAUUGGACUUCAUCAAAAUUAAAAACUUUUGUGAAUCAAAGGACAUUAUCAAGAGAGUGAAAAGUCAAUGGAAGAAAGGCAAGGCUGGGUGCAGUAGCUUACACCUACGAUCCCAGCACUUUAGGGAAGCAAAGCGGGAGGGUAAGCUUGAGCCCAGGAAUUCAAGGUCAGCCUAGACAACAUAGUGAGACCCCAUCUCUGCAAGAAUAUUUUUUAAAAUUAUCUGGGUGUAGUGGUAUGUGCCUGUAGGCGAGGCGAAGUGGGAGGAUCCCAUGAGCCCAGGAGGUCGAGGCUGCAAUGAGCUAUGAUCACUUCACUACCCUCCAGCCUGGGUGACAGAGAAAGACUCUGUCUCAAAAAAAACAAACAAACAAUAACAAAUGCUAGUGAGAACAUGGAGAAAUUGGAACCGUCCUACACUGCCGGUAGGAAUGUGAAAUGGUACAGCCACUGUGGAGAACAAUUUAGCAAUUCCUCAAGACGUGAAACCCAGAACUGCCAUGUGAGCCAGCACAUCCACUGUAGCCAGAUGCUGGGCUCCUCUGUGGCCUCCAGAGACCAGCCUGAGGCUGUCAGGACCUGGAAGCACAGUGGCCAAUGCCUCUUCCCCUGUGCUAGCAGUAGUGGCCGCUUUCCAGUGGAUGAAAACACAUGUUUUAGUCCAUUUUGUGUUGCUAUAAGGGAAUCCUGAGGCUGGGUCUUUUUUAAAGGAAAAAAAGGUUGGCCGGGCCGCGGUGGCUCAAGCCUGUAAUCCCAGCACUUUAGGAGGCCGAGGCAGGGUGGAUCAAGAGGUCAGGAGAUCGAGACCAUCCUGGCUAACAUGGUGAAACCCGUCUCUACUAAAAAAUACAAAAACUAGCCAGAAGGCGAGGUGGUGAGCCUGUAGUCCCAACUACUCAGGAGGCUGAGGCGGGAGAAUAAGUAAACCGGGAGGCAGAGCUUGCAGUGAGCUGAGAUCCGGCCACUGUACUCCAGCCUGGGUGACAGAGCGAGACUCCGUCUCAAAAAAAAAAAGAAAAAGAAAAAGGGUUUAUGGUCAGGCAUGGUGGCUCAAGCCUGUAAUCCCAACACUUUGGAAGACUAAGGCCAGCGGAUCACUUGAGGUCAGCGGAUCACUUGAGGUCAGGAGUUCAAGACCAGCCUCGCCAACAUGGUGAAACCCCAUCUCUACUAAAAAUACAAAAAUCAG